rnacentral:rRNA from 1 species
UACGGAGGGAGCUAGCGUUGUUCGGAAUUACUGGGCGUAAAGCGCGCGUAGGCGGCUUUGUAAGUUAGAGGUGAAAGCCCGGGGCUCAACCCCGGAACUGCCUUUAAGACUGCAUCGCUUGAAUCCGGGAGAGGUGAGUGGAAUUCCGAGUGUAGAGGUGAAAUUCGUAGAUAUUCGGAAGAACACCAGUGGCGAAGGCGGCUCACUGGACCGGCAUUGACGCUGAGGUGCGAAAGCGUGGGGAGCGAACAGG